AUACUUACUGGGCAGAUAAGAUAUCAUCAUCACGAAGGUGGCUCUCCCAGGGCAAGGCUUAUCCAUUGCACUCCAGAUGUGCUGACCCCUGAGAUUUCCCCAAAUGCGGGAAACGGCUGCAUAAUUUGUGGUAGUGGGGUGCUGUAUUCACAUUCUCCCCUG